ensembl:lncRNA
GGGGAAGCGGGUAAUAAUUAACAGAUAGCCAGGCAGUUCAACACCUGUUCCUGUGGCACGUGGAGACACAAUAGAUGGGAAGUCAGAGUGGGAAAGGGCACAGUGAGACACCACGGGGUGAAGGUGGGGCAGUGGGCACAGAGGGGGACGGUGCCCUCCUUUUCCUGGGCUUUGCCCCAAGCAUUGCAAAACCCGGGGCUGCCCCGGGCUGCGUUUGCGGGAACACAGCUGGCUGAGAGCUGUGUGCUUGGCUAUGGGGGAAAGGGGGGGGGGAGGUGCACCCCCCCGACUAUUCCCUGUGCCCACUUCCAGCACAGCUGGGCUCUGCAUGCAGCAAGAAUCCCAAGGAAAAGCUUUGGGAACCUUGCACAAGGUAAGGGGAACAUUACUCCAUUUCCUACCGGGGUCAAUUUCCCAUUGCCCAAGAGCACCCAAAGAAAACAGCUCUGCUUGAAGCCAGGGUGCAACCUCCUCGUGCAGGAGAGAUACUGCCUGUCCCCAGCAAAGCCUCAGGAGGGGGCACAGCAGGUCACCAUCGUGUCUUUACCUGGAGAAUGGUGUGAGUGCAGCAGGGCACCCCACCACUGCCCAUCUGCUCAGGGGCUGUGCUCCCUCCCCCCCCCCAGGUGCAGCUGCACAGCACAGUUGUGCAAUGCAGCAACUUUGCUUUUUGAGCAAUUGAACAAUCGAUGUGUGUCUUAUGCAAAAGGCUUCCAGAAAACAUAACGCAACAGCAGAGGAAAAAGGCACAAACACACCCGCCCAGCUUCCCCUCCCACACCUCCCAGCCCAUCCUGUUCCCAAGCACUUAAAUGCCGCUGUCCCCCAGCAACUCACACCCGCACCUCUCAAGAGAAGCAGCAGCAUGAAGGCCGUGCCUGCCCUCCUGCUCGUGGGGAUGCUCAUCCUCUGGGCUGAGCUGCCAUCAGGCACUGCCUGGUCCUGCCCUGAGGUCCGCUUCACCUGCGCCUUGGCCAACCCGAGGAACGACUGCUACACUGACCGGCACUGCCCGCGCUUCAAGAAGUGCUGCAAAACCUUCUGUGGGCGGCGAUGCAUCGCACGCCCACCCACCAUCCCCUUGUCCUACGUGUGAGCUGCUGCUCCCAGCACAGCCCAAGGGUGCCUGUGUCCCCGUGCCACCUCCAGCACCGUGCACCUGCAGAAGGACCGCCAGCUUGGGGACGGGGACAGCUUCUUGCUCACACUCCGAGACCUCCUCCGCUGCUAUAUGCCAUCUUCUCACCCUCCCCCUUCAUUCCCCGCUGCUGUUACAACAAAUAAAAGCUUGACCCAGGAGCAACAGUGUGCAGUUCCUUUCUUCCCCUCCCUGCCUCUCGUGGCCCAUCCUAGUGCACAUCCCCAGAUGCACCCGAGCUGUGGGAUGGGGAGUAGAACCAGUGCUAUGGGAUGGGGGGUGCAGCACCCAGCAAAUGGCAGGGGCACCCCCCCCCUCCCCACUGCAUGGUGCUGGUGGAGGAUACAAACACCAGAUGACGAGCUUGCCAACCAAACUCAGGUGGGAAAUAGAUCAUCACUCACCCCCAGUACAGAGACCUCCCAUGGAGAUGGCCCCUUGCACCAAAUGCACCCAUGGAGUGGGAAGCACCGUGUCCUGCAUGCUAUGGGACACAGCACAGAGCCCCAGCGCUGCACUCAGGCUGGCACAGUGACAUGGACAGGCUGACACGAUGACAGCAGCACCAGCUAUUAUCAGCUAUUAAGCAGGCAUUUCCAUACAGCUGGCUAAUUUGAUAACGCUGCAAUUAUCC